GAUGAACGCUGACAGAAUGCUUAACACAUGCAAGUCUUUGGCGAAGCUGUGCUUGCACAGCCUAGCCAAGGCGGACGGGUCAGUAACGCGUAAGGAACUUGCCCUGCAGUCAGGGAUAACAGACGGAAACGACUGAUAAGACCUGGUAAAGUCAGGCGGACUCAUGUCCAGCCUGAUGAAAAGAGAUGCUGCAGGAGAGCCUUGCGUCCUAUUAGCUUGUUGGUGGGGUAACGGCCCACCAAGGCGAUGAUAGGUAGCCGGCCUGAGAGGGUGGACGGCCACAAGGGGACUGAGAUACGGCCCUUACUCCUACGGGAGGCAGCAGUGGGGAAUAUUGGACAAUGGGGGCAACCCUGAUCCAGCAAUUCUGUGUGCACGAUGAAGGUUUUCGGAUUGUAAAGUGCUUUCAGCAGGGAAGAAAAAAUGACGGUACCUGCAGAAGAAGCGACGGCUAAAUACGUG
rnacentral:rRNA from 1 species